rnacentral:rRNA from 1 species
UGGGGAAUAUUGCACAAUGGGGGAAACCCUGAUGCAGCGACGCCGCGUGAGCGAAGAAGGUUUUCGAAUCGUAAAGCUCUGUCCUAUGGGAAGAUAAUGACGGUACCAUAGGAGGAAGCCCCGGCUAACUACGUGCCAGCAGCCGCGGUAAUACGUAGGGGGCAAGCGUUGUCCGGAAUCACUGGGCGUAAAGGGUUCGCAGGCGGAAAUGCAAGUCAGUUGUGAAAGGCAGAGGCUCAACCUCUGUAAGCAAUUGAAACUGUAUUUCUUGAGAUGUGGAGAGGCAAGUGGAAUUCCUAGUGUAGCGGUGAAAUGCGUAGAUAUUAGGAAGAAUACCGGUGGCGAAGGCGACUUGCUGGACACAAACUGACGCUGAGGAACGAAAGCGUGGGUAGCAAACAG